ACGCGAAGGGCCCCUUCGGGGGCCGAGUAGAGUGGCGCACGGGUGAGUAACACGUAGGUAAUCUACCUCUGGGUGGGGAAUAACGACCGGAAACGGUCGCUAAUACCGCAUAAUGCAGCGGCACCACAUGGUGACAGUUGUUAGAGCGGGGGAUCGUAAGACCUCGCGCCUAGAGAUGAGCCUGCGGCAGAUUAGCUAGUUGGCAGGGUAACGGCCUACCAAGGCGACGAUCUGUAGCCGGCCUGAGAGGGCGGACGGCCACACUGGCACUGACAUACGGGCCAGACUCCUACGGGAGGCAGCAGUCGGGAAUUUUGGGCAAUGGGCGAAAGCCUGACCCAGCAACACCGCGUGAAGGAUGAAGCUUCUCGGAGUGUAAACUUCAUAAGAAUGGGACGAAUAAGGAGGGGUUAACACCCCCUUCGAUGACGGUACCAUUUGUAAGCUCCGGCUAACUCCGUGCCAGCAGCCGCGGUAAUACGGGGGGAGCAAGCGUUGUUCGGAUUUACUGGGCGUAAAGGGCGCGUAGGCGGCGCAACAAGUCACUUGUGAAAUCUCCGGGCUUAACCCGGAGCGGCCAAGUGAUACUGUCGUGCUAGAGUGCGGAAGGGGCUACUGGAAUUCUCGGUGUAGCGGUGAAAUGCGUAGAUAUCGAGAGGAACACCUGCGGCGAAGGCGGGUAGCUGGGCCGACACUGACGCUGAGGCGCGAAAGCCAGGGG
rnacentral:rRNA from 1 species